UUCUUAUUCUUAGUUUGAUUUUUCUUUAUGGCUCAGUUGACACAUCUGUACUUCAACCACUUUUUCAUGGGUUUGUUGGUACUAUUCAUACUACCACUACAUCGGCCGUUACCGAUGUUUCUUCUGGUUUUGAUGACUUCGGAGAAAUGGGAAGAACCUAUGAAGAGAAUUUCUCAGAAGAAUCAAAAAAUGCAAGCCGUUUGAGUUCCAAUAUGGAGAAUUGUGAAUCUGUGAUAUAUAUAAAGACCUAAUGAAGAUUAUCUAAGAUGGAGAUGGCAACCGGAUGACUGCAAUUUACCAAGCUUGAAUCCUACUGAUUUUCUUGAGAGAUUGCGGGGAAAGAGGAUUAUUUUUGUUGGGGAUUCGCAGAACCGUAAUAUGUGGAAAUCGUUGGUGUGUAUGCUGAGGCAUGGUGUUGCAAAUACUAGCAGAGUUCACAAG